CUACGGGAGGCUCCAGUGGGGAAUAUUGGACAAUGGGGGAAACCCUGAUCCAGCAAUGCCGCGUGUGUGAAGAAGGCCUGCGGGUUGUAAAGCACUUUCGGUUGGGAGGACUGCUUCUAGCACUAAUAUUGUUGGAAGUUGACGUUACCUUCAGAAGAAGCACCGGCUAACUCCGUGCCAGCAGCCGCGGUAAUACGGAGGGUGCAAGCGUUAAGCGGAAUUACUGGGCGUAAAGCGCGCGUAGGCGGCUAGAUCAGUCGGGUGUGAAAGCCCCGGGCUUAACCUGGGAACUGCAUCCGAUACUGUCUAGCUUGAGUACAGGAGAGGAGAGUGGAAUUCCACAUGUAGCGGUGAAAUGCGUAGAUAUGUGGAGGAACACCAAUGGCGAAGGCAGCUCUCUGGCCUGAUACUGACGCUGAGGUGCGAAAGCGUGGGGAGCAAACAGAAUUAGAUACCCCCGUAGUC
rnacentral:rRNA from 1 species